rnacentral:rRNA from 1 species
GUCGAGAAUCUUCGGCAAUGGGCGCAAGCCUGACCGAGCGACGCCGCGUGGAGGACGAAGGCCUUCGGGUUGUAAACUCCUGUCGAGGGGGAAGAAGCCGCAAGGUUGACUGAUCCCUGGAGGAAGCACGGGCUAAGUUCGUGCCAGCAGCCGCGGUAAGACGAACCGUGCGAACGUUAUUCGGAAUCACUGGGCUUAAAGCGCGUGUAGGCGGGACGGCACGUCGGUGACUGAAAGCCCCCGGCUCAACCGGGGAAGUGGUGCCGAUACGACCGUUCUCGAGGGGCGUAGGGGGAACUGGAACUUCCGGUGGAGCGGUGAAAUGCGUUGAGAUCGGAAGGAACGCCCGUGGCGAAAGCGAGUUCCUGGACGCCUGCUGACGCUGAGACGCGAAAGCCAGGGGAGCGAACGGGAUUAGAUACCCCAGUAGUCC